rnacentral:rRNA from 1 species
UACGGGGGGGGUAAGGCGUUGUUCGGAAUUACUGGGCGUAAAGGGCGCAGUAGGCGGCCGCCUAAGUCAGACGUGAAAUCCCUCGGCUCAACCGGGGAACUGCGUCCGAUACUGGAUGGCUUGAAUCCGGGAGAGGGAUGCAGAAUUCCAGGUGUAGCGGUGAAAUGCGUAGAUAUCUGGAGGAAUACCGGUGGCGAAGGCGGCAUCCUGGACCGGCAUUGACGCUGAGGAGCGAAAGCCAGGGGAGCAAACGGGG